AUGUUAGAAUUAAGGGUGCUUUUAUUGUGGAAUACUUGCCACAGAAGGAUCAAGAGUUUUAUAACGAGUACUUGUGUGUGUCUGUCCCUAUCUAGUCCGAACAAUGAAUGCAAAUUUCAAGUGAACACAGGCGCACGUGUGCAAUCCACUCAAGUUGCAGGUCUACUGAAGAAAACAAUCAUCAGGUCCUUGGUUCCAUCCCUCACCCUCUGCCACUGACAGUUACAUCAAAGUGCUCCAUUCCUGACCUUCCAAUGCACAGAAAGCUUAUGCAAUAAUAUUUAUUAAUUGAAAGAAUGGCUUUAGAGCUUUAAGUCACAGGAAGAUUUCCCAAAGUUCAAGAAAUAGAAGAGUUUCUCCACGCUCUCUUUAAAUAUUAAAGAUAUUGACAUCUCUGAUCAAGGGGCAGUGGGUAAAGCUCUGGAUGUGCAAACCUGGCCUCUGAGUUCAGUUCCUGGAACCUGUGUCGAAGGGAAAGAGGAGGAUUUACAUCAGAAAGUUGUCCUCUGAGCUUCACAUGCAUGCUAUGAUAUGCACGAUAUGCAUGGCCCCCUCCUCUGACAUUGUGCAUGCACACACACACACACACACACACACACACACACACCCCUAAGAAAUAAGAAAAAUUAAGAACUGUGAUGCAUUUGGGAUUUCUUCUGGAGUAUACUUAUAUCAUUUACUAAGAUGUCCACACGUCACUCCACAGAUCUGAGAUACUAUCUUUUAAUGAAACCCGUGACCAGAUUUACUGGGUCAUUUUCCAGAUUUUAUUUUCUGUUAAUGUGACAAAAGCUAAAUCUUAGUUAUUGAGGCUUAUUGGGUUGGAUUCUGACAGACCAUUUUCUUUACCCUGGCUUUUAUUUUACUAUUAUUUUUAAAAGAUUUUGUUUAUGUUGGUUUAUUUUCCAACUAAACAUUAUAAUCAAGUCAAGAUAAAAUAAUUGCCUGAUUUUUUUUUAUUGAGGUUGGCUUACACUAUUAAAAAUGUCUUAUUAAAAACUGACCUUCUUUUCAUCAUGGCCACAGUGAUUCUAAACUAGAGGGUGGCCAUAUUUCAUUAGUGACUUGGUUGUGUGUAUCUGGUGUGUUUCUGUGUAUCUGGUGUGUUUGUGUGUAUGUGAGUGUGUGUGGUAUAGUGUGUAUGUGCAUCUAGUGUAUGUGUGUGUGUGUGUGUGUGUGUAUGUGUGGGUGGGUGGUAUAAUGUGUGUGUGUGCAUCUCUCUCUCUCUCUCUCUCUCUCUCUCUCUCUCUCUCUCUCUCUCACACACACACACACACACACACACACACACCCAUGCAGGUUGAAGUCCCAGGCUGAUGUUGGAUGUCUUCUCACCCUUUCCACCUUAUUUCUCCUGAGACAGGGUGUAUCACUGAACUAGUAAGUUACUCACUUUUUGACCAGAGUGGCUUUCCAGCCAGUACGAACUCGUCCUGUCUCUCUCUCUCCAGAUUAAGUAUAGGCAUGUGCUGUCAAACCCAACUUAUUACAUGGGUGUUAUGAUUCCAGACUCAGGUCCUCAUGUUUUUACAGCAAGCACUUUACCCAAUGAGCCAUCUCCACAGCUCAAUACAUAUGAAAAAAAAAGCCCUAACUAUUAAACAUGUGGUUUACAGACAGAUAAAAUAAAUUUAUUCCAAUCUCUCUUCCCA
ensembl:lncRNA